UCACCUAGGCGACGAUCCGUAGCGGGUCUGAGAGGAUGAUCCGCCACACUGGGACUGAGACACGGCCCAGACUCCUACGGGAGGCAGCAGUGGGGAAUUUUGGACAAUGGGGGCAACCCUGAUCCAGCCAUGCCGCGUGAGUGAAGAAGGCCUUCGGGUUGUAAAGCUCUUUCGGCCGGGAAGAAAUCGUGGUCUCUAACAUAGGCCAUGGAUGACGGUACCGGACUAAGAAGCACCGGCUAACUACGUGCCAGCAGCCGCGGUAAUACGUAGGGUGCGAGCGUUAAUCGGAAUUACUGGGCGUAAAGCGUGCGCAGGCGGUUUUGUAAGACAGAUGUGAAAUCCCCCGGGGCUUAACCUGGGAACUGCGUUUGUGACUGCAAGGCUAGAGUACGGCAGAGGGGGGUGGAAUUCCUGGUGUAGCAGUGAAAUGCGUAGAGAUCAGGAGGAACACCGAUGGCGAAGGCAGCCCCCCUGGGCCUGUACUGACGCUCAUGCACGAAAGCGUGGGGGAG
rnacentral:rRNA from 1 species